ensembl:lncRNA
CUUGCAUGUUUGAAUUAGAGCUCCUUUAAAGUGUUUUAGAUUAUGAUAAUAAUGUUAUAUUAUUUUUAUAAUAAUACAUAUCUGCAAACCCAAUGUAUUUCUGAAAACCCCUUUUUGCAUCUUCAAUAGUUGUAGAUGUUCCAACGUUCGUAGACCUUUCAUACAAAAAGACAUAAUACUGUCUGUUUCAUCGGUUCCUCCGAUGUCGUUCAGAGUCCCUAAUGCAUCCAAGUCACCCGUUGUGUCAGUGUUUCAUCGGUUCUUCCGAUGUCGUUCAGAGUCCCUAACGCAUCCAAGUCACCCUAUGUGUCCGAUGUCCAUCAUACCUAAUAAAAUAAAAUAAAUAUAUAAAUCGUUGUCCCCCCUGUUUAAAACACAAAUAACUCGUGUUUAAUAUUACAAUAAUAUCACAAUAAUAUUCAAACAAAACUUUAAAUAUAUUUUUCACUUACUCAGCUCCCGAAAUAUCCAUUAGGAGGGCUUCACAGACAUGUUAUCUGUCCUGGGACUGCUGCCUGUUGUCUUACGAAGUGGUUCAGAGUGCACACUUUUCUUUUUUUAAUAUAUAAAUAUUCUUGGGUAUGUGAUUAUUUGGAUUUACGCCUAAAAAAUGUGUGAUCGUGAAGGGCUACGUAAAGGACAGGGCGCAGUUUGCUUCUGAGAAUCUACGUCUAACAGUCGCUUCCCAAUCACUUAUGUCCAGUAGCCUUCAGAAAUAUCCAUUAGGAGGGAUUCACUUAUUCACAUCUCUUUUUUAAUCUGUCCUGGCAGCGAAAUAUUCGGGCCUGUGUGUUUGCGCUAAAGCUGUGGUAACAUAGUGUUAAAGUAUAUGCUCCACGUUCUGUCCCUAACUAUCGAAAGUACGGAAUGAGUUUCGGGAGAUAUCCUGUAUGCAACACUUUGUACGUUUGAUAGAGCGCUGGGCCCCCUGUUGAACCCACACCCUUUGUUUUUGAAACGCACACACACACACUCCUGCUGCUCCGUCACACGCACACUCAUGCACGCACCCUGAUUUUCCAUGUCUUUUUCUUCGUGACUGUAACGGUUCUCUUUUGGUGAAGGAGAGUCGGACCAAAAUGCGGCGUGUAGAUUGCGAUCCAUGUUUAAUCAACAAACGUAAAACACGAAUCAAUACAAAAACUACAACAAAAAAAAGAACAACAACAAACGUGGAAACGUAACGAAAACCGAAACAGCCCUAUCUGGUGAAACCACAGCGACAGGAACAACGACACUAAGGACAAUCACCCACGACAAACUCAAAGAAUAUGGCUGCCUAAAUAUGGUUCCCAAUCAGAGACAACGAUAAACACCUGCCUCUGAGAACCACUCCAGACAGCCAUAGACUUUGCUAGAUAACCCCACUAGCUACAAUCCCAAUACAUACACACCAAAACCCCAAGACAAAAACACACCACAAUACAAAAACCCCAUGCCACACCCUGGCCUGACCCAAUACAUGAAGAAAAAC